rnacentral:rRNA from 1 species
AUUGAACGCUGGCGGCAGGCCUAACACAUGCAAGUCGAACGAGUGGCGGACGGGUGAGUAAUGUCUGGGAACCUGCCUGAUGGAGGGGGAUAACUACUGGAAACGGUAGCUAAUACCGCAUACCAUCAGAUGUGCCCAGAUGGGAUUAGCUAGUGGGGGGGGUAACGGAUCCCCAAGGCGACGAUCCGGAGCGGGGCUGAGAGGAUGACCAGCCACACUGGAACUGAGACACGGUCCAUACGCAUACGGGAGGAAGCAGUGGGGAAUAUUGCACAAUGGGCGCAAGCCUGAUGCAGCCAUGCCGCGUGUAUGAAGAAGGCCUUCGGGGUGUAAAGUACUUUCAGCGGGGAGGCGUUACCCGCAGAAGAAGCACCGGCUAACUCCGUGCCAGCAGCCGCGGUAAUAC